rnacentral:tRNA from 1 species
GGGGUUGUGGCUCAGUGGUAGAGUGCUUGCCUUGCAUGCAUGGGCACUGAGUUCAUUCCUCAGAACCACA